CCUGCUGGGAUGAAUAAAGUACUUCUAUUCUAUUAUAUUCUAUUCUAUUCUAUAUUCUUAACCAAAUCUCAUUGUCUCUCAAGGUAAUGACUGUGAUGUUUUGAAUUGCGUUUCUCAAUCAUCAAAGUCUUAGUGAAAGACGAAGCAAUGUUUUCAACCAUGGGUUAACAUGAUAGGGGGGGAAUAGAGUUCCCAUCCGCUGAGGGCAGGCUGCCAUCUUUGCGCAGUGGCAGUAUCGUAGCCUAUGAGGUUUAACCGAGGCGCGAUUAUUGCUAGUUGAAAACUUUACCCAAUACCCCGCCUUGACGACUUGAAAUAUAGUCGGCAAUGGCAAUUUUUGACGGUCUCUACGGAGGCUGAUUUACUUGUAAAUAUAAUUAAGUAUGUUUUUUUGUUUUGUCUGAUUAACUUUCAAGCAUUCUGGAAGUAGAGGGACGUGAGCUACAUGCAUUUGUGAAAGCAGUCAGGAUGUCUAUGAAGGCUUGCAGUUUGUGUAUGUCCACCUAUAGCGUUUCUGAAUCAUUUAUUUCUUGAGUUGCACAUUUGAAAACCAAUGAUCUUCUUUGAAUCAGUUUACAUUGUAUCUUUUCAGACAUUCUUAUUAUAUUUGUAUGACCUAUAAAUAUUUUUUCGUUUAAACUCUUCAAAACAAGACAAUUCUAGGUGUUUUAAAAUUCCUGGUAUUGGUUAAAAAUAACCCCCCAAUGUUUCAAAACACAGACAAUAUAAGAUGUUAAAAUGAGAAAUGUGAGGUGUGGGAAUGUAAAAGUUUUGAUUUAAGUCGUAAAAGUGAACAGUUUUACUAAAAUUCAGAUUUAACCAUUCCCAUCUCAAACUUUUCAAAAUAAAGCAAGAGUGAGUUAAAAAGACAAAAAAUGUAGAAAAAUACGAUCAGCCUGAAGAAAUAGCAUACCGUUUGUUGUUAUUUUUUUAAUCUUAGCAAACCUGCAAAUAUAUAUAUUUUUGUUUUAAAUCUACAAUAAUAUAUAAAAAGCUAAAUUAUGUGACUGCUUUCAUGUUUAGUUUCAGGUUAAAAAUGAAAACAUAACAUCAUUUUUGCAAACUCAAAAGUACUAAAAUGUUUGUGGCCCCUGGAGUUGUUUCAGCUUGACAUUUUUGGCCCCCAUGCCAGAAAGUUAUCACACCCAUGGUCUUAUAUGAAAUGUGCUCUUAUUUUUUCAGUGUAAAGACUGAAAAAGAAGGUUUGGACAUUAUACUGAGAGUUGUCAAAACUUUCAGGGUACAGUAAUAUGCAAACCUACCUGCAUAAUACAUUAAAUACUGAGUGGUAUUGGCAGCCAUUUUGGAUGCCACGUAAGAUUGUAGUGUAGUCACACAAGCAUUUUUUAAUCAUUGUGGGGAAAAAAUGGAUAAGUUGCUUAAUUCUGUGGCCUUCAUCAAAAUUGUCUGGAAAAAUUUGACGAAUUUUUGUAUUUUAUAAAGUGAAUGUGGAAUUUGAUUAGUUUGGCUGCUGUCAGAUUAUUCUUUUUAGGUUUAAAUUGCAUUUCUCAAUUUUAAGCAAACAUUGGUUUUAGUCACUUUGACACCACGCCCCUCAUCUUAAGAAGAAAGUUAGAUAAAAAAAAAAAAUGCCUGUGGCCACAUAGCAUUUUGUCUUUACAAUAAUUCAUCCCAGGCUACGUUUUAUUAUGUGUUUUCUUGUAAUUGGUGCCUAAUAUUGUCAAGUUAUUUUUAGAUGUGAUUAUGAUGUUAUUAUUGUUUCUUUUUCAGAGAUGCUAAGUAAGGAUGAAGCAAUGUUUUCAACCAUGGGUUAACAUGAUAGGGAGUGAAUAGAGUUCCCAUCCGCUGAGGUCAGGCUGCCAUCUUUGCGCAGUGGCAGUAUCGUAGCCUAUGAGGUUUAACCGAGGCGCGAUUAUUGCUAGUUGAAAACUUUACCCAAUACCCCGCCUUGACGACUUGAAAUAUAGUCGGCAAUGGCAAUUUUUGACGGUCUCUACUGAGGCUGAUUUCGUUGUAAAUGGAACAAAAUUUUGAUCUGAGAAGUAUUAAGAAAGUAAUCUGUAUUCAUUGGUAUGUAUUUCCGAAUGGUGAUGGGCCCGAUGGCACAGAAACCUCGGCGCAUGCGUCGAGCAAACAAAACGAAACCUCGUGUCGGUGCGCGUAUCGCUUUAAGGAAAACCACGUGGCCAAAUACAGUUCCUGUGUCGUUUGGUUGCGAAAACGCGCCAAAUUGUAUUUGUGAAGGAGAAACAGCGUCGACACGUUUGUGGGGUUUGUUGAAUGGAGAUACUUUGCGUUGGUCUUUGGCUCGUAUUUGAACACCGGCAUGAAUCAACCGAGGAAGAGGAUUUUUCCUCCCGCGUGGGAUCAAUCUUUAUCUGGUCGCGGAGAAUAAGGUGAAACAUAGGAUUUGCUCCCAGGUGUGGUCUUACUGUAACUGGAGCUCUUCCACAAUGCUGAGGCAUCAUCGCGCCCGGCAUGAGGGGGAUGAUCCGGUUAACACUCCGUGAUAAACCCUGGUGCUUCCAGAAAGCAGGCGACUGAACUGGACCUUCAACUCAACCGCCUGCUCCCAGUUCAGCAGCUGAACAUGGAAAUCGAAGAGAGCAAGGCCAAUUCAAAUGUCUCCACAGAUGCCGUCAUCCGAGGUACAAAGAUUCAUCUCGGAGGCGAACGCACCAAGAUCACAAGAUCCGCUACAAUACUGGGGAAUGGAAAGACUACAAUUACCCUACGUUAUACAAACAAUGAUUAAAUUUCUAUGUAUGCCGUCAUCAUCGGUGUUCUCAAAAGCAGGAGAAGUGGUUUGUAGACGGAGCAAUCGCCUCGACCCAAGGCUGUUACAGCAGCUGAUGUUUCUAAAUAAAAACAUGUGGAUGAACCUGGUCCAGUCUGUUUCCAGUCACUUGCUGUGACAUGAACUGCAACAGCAACACAUUGUCAGCACUGUGUCGACACAGUUUGAGAUAUAUGCCAACGAGGCAUCAUCUGACCGUCACUAUUUCUGAAAGCGGUCAGGAUGUGUCUAGUCAAUGAAGACUUGUAGUUUCUGUAUAACAGAAUUCAUAAGUGAUUUUUCUCUUCCGUUCCACGUUUGUAAACCAAUUAACUGUUUUGAGCCAGUUCGCCUUGUCUCGUGAAAGCAAAGAAGACAAUGUCUUUUCAUCAACAUAUAAAUAUUUGGAUGACCCAUAAGUACCCAAAUAUUUCUGUCUAAAGUCUUCAAGAAGAAAUAGGCUCUUAUUUUUUCAGUGUCAUAACUACGCUGAGGUUUGGACAUUGCAUAUCAAUUUACAGCAAUGGGCUGUGCAAACCUACCUGCACAACACAUUGACUGCUGGGUGAUAUUAUUAGCCAUUUGGGACGCCAUUUAAGAUUUUCACCAGCUGAAGAUGAAGUGUAUAGUCACUUUAGCAUUUUUUAGCAAUUGUGAAUAAAAUCGACAGAAUGCAAAUUGUUGAAUUUUUUAGGCUUCCCACUUCUUCGUGUAAGUUAUCUAAAAAAAAAAAAACCUUGAUGAAUUAUUGUAUUUUAUAAAGUGAAUGUGGAAUCUGAUUAGUUUGGCAGCUGUCAGUUAAAUUUGAUUAAAGUCUACAUUGCAGUUCUCGAA